rnacentral:lncRNA from 1 species
GUUUUGUUAUGUUUUUUUCUCAAAUUUUCUUUGUCAAUUUUAUUUUUUCAAUAUUAAGUUGGUUAAGAAUUGCAAUUAUAAGUAAAUACAAGUUUUUCCUCACAAAACACUAUGGAUUAAUACAGUUUUUCCUCACAUGGUUUUUUUCCAGUUUCUUUUGUGUUUUUUUUUUUGUAAUAUUUUUUUUCAAAAAUAUCUUCGUCGAUUUUUUUUUUAUAUUGAGUUGGUUAGAAUUUAACUUUGUAAUAAAACUUAAUCAUGUGAGGAAAGCACUGUAACUUUCCUUACAAAACAUUGUGGAUUGCUAUAGUG